rnacentral:rRNA from 1 species
UACUGCUCAGUAACACGUCGGUAAUCUAACCUAAGGUCUGGGAUAACCUCGCGAAAGUGAGGGUAAGACCGGAUAGGAGAAUUAUACUGGAAUGUUUUUUCUCUUAAAAGCAAUGCCUUAGGAUGGGCCGGCGGCAGAUUAGGUAGUUGGCGGUGUAAUGGACCACCAAGCCGAAGAUCUGUACGGGUCUUGAGAGAGAUCGCCCGGAGAAGGACACUGAGAUAUGGGUCCUAGCCCCACGGGGUGCAGCAGGCGCGAAAACUUUACACUGCACGAAAGUGCGAUAAGGGAACCCAAAGUGCUUAUGCUUUUAGUAUAGGCUUUUGCCAAAGGCAAAAUCUUUGGCGAAUAAGUGGUGGGUAAGACGGGUGCCAGCAGCCGCGGUAAUACCCGCGCCACAAGUGGCAAUCGGUUUUAUUUGGUCUAAAGCGUCCGUAGCAGGUCAUGUAAGUCUUCUGUGAAAUUGUUGGGCUCAACUUAACAGAACGCAGGAGGUACUGCACGACUUGGGACUGGGAGGGGUUAGAAGUAUUCUUAGGGUAGCGGUAAAAUGUUAUAAUCCUUAGAAGACUACCAGUGGCGAAGGCGUCUAACCAGAACAGGUCCGACUGUGAGGGACGAAAGCUAGGGGAGCGAAACGGAUUAGAUACCCGUGUAGUCCUAGCCGUAAACGCUGCAAGCAAGGUGUUG